rnacentral:rRNA from 1 species
GACGAACGCUGGCGGCGUGCUUAACACAUGCAAGUCGAACGGAAAGGCCCUGCUUUUGUGGGGUGCUCGAGUGGCGAACGGGUGAGUAACACGUGAGUAACCUGCCCUUUACUUUGGGAUAACUUCAGGAAACUGGGGCUAAUACCGGAUAGGAUCUCCUGCUGCAUGGUGGGGGUUGGAAAGUUUCGGCUGUUGGGGAUGGACUCGCGGCUUAUCAGCUUGUUGGUGGGGUAGUGGCUUACCAAGUCUUUGACGGGUAGCCGGCCUGAGAGGGUGACCGGCAACAUUGGGACUGAGAUACGGCCCAGACUCCUACGGGAGGCAGCAGUGGGGAAUAUUGCACAAUGGGCGGAAGCCUGAUGCAGCAACGCAGCGUGCGGGAUGACGGCCUUCGGGUUGUAAACCGCUUUCGCAUGUGACGAAGCGUGAGUGACGGUAAUGGGUAAAGAAGCACCGGCUAACUACGUG